rnacentral:lncRNA from 1 species
GUUGCUAUGGUUAUGUUAUGUAAUCUCAUCUAAGGUAUAAUAUAGAGGGACAGAAAUUAGUGCAUUUUGUAGAUAAUAAAUGUAAAGAAUGGACAGCUAGGAUAUGGAUUUAUCGAAGAGAAAAUGGUGAUGAAUGAAAAUCUGCACCAUGGAAAUAACGGUUUAGAUUUCUAAACUGUUGGAACCUGUGCUCGGCGCGCCCAUUUCUUAUUCAGCAAGGAAUGCAUGAUGGCGACCAACAGUACAGAAAGAUGAAGAUGUAAAUUGAUCCAAGGAAAUAAUGGGACCAUAAUUGCUAUAAUUACCAAGAAGAAGACGUACUUUGGCAUAUGUAUACAUCAUUUUUAUGAAGAUGCUUAUCCAAACAGCAACAAGUGUUUGAAGCAUUGGUAAAAAACUGAAUAGUUUGAUAGAUCAUACAGAAUGUACAAUCAAAUUUACAGACACAAAUUUAGAGAACCAGAGAAAAAGAAAUAUCAAGGAUUAGGGAGAAAGAAAAAUAUGCAUCAUUUAUGAAGAACCCGCCUUAGAUUGAUUUGAAAAAUACAUUGAAAUUUCACAAUUAUUAAUGACAUAAUGCGUAUAAAAGUUGUACUCUUCUAGAAAUUAUGUGUCUAGUAGGAACUGCAACAACAAUUAUUUUUCAAUUUUCUGGUUUAUGUACUGUUUUUCUUACUGUUCUUUCAAUACGAAUGUUUUGCCGUUUUAUCAAUAUGGCGCUUCUGAUAAUAUUUCUACUGGCACCAGGUGUUCAUACCAACAUGCUUUCUAGACGAUUAUUUGAAGUGUUUGUCACCGCCUUAUUUCUAUCUCGCUGUCC